UUUUUAGAGAGUUUGAUCCUGGCUCAGGAUAAACGCUGGCGGCGUGCAUAACACAUUCAAGUCGAACGAACUGAUACGGAAGCUUGCUUUUGUUGAAAGUUAGUGGCGGACGGGUGAGUAACGCGUGAGCAACCUGCCUAUCUGUGGGGAAUAACACAUGGAAACGUGUGCUAAUACCGCAUAACACAACCUGAUCGCAUGUUUAGGUUGUCAAAGAUUUAUCGCAGAUAGAUGGGCUCGCGUCUGAUUAGCUAGUUGGAGGGGUAACGGCCCACCAAGGCGACGAUCAGUAGCCGGACUGAGAGGUUGAACGGCCA
rnacentral:rRNA from 1 species